rnacentral:rRNA from 1 species
UGCUUUUAGAUGAGUCUGCGUCUGAUUAGCUAGAUGGUGGGGUAACGGCUUACCAUGGCGACGAUCAGUAGUCGGCCUGAGAGGGUGACCGGCCACAUUGGGACUGAGACACGGCCCAGACUCCUACGGGAGGCAGCAGUGGGGGAUAUUGCACAAUGGGGGGAACCCUGAUGCAGCGACGCCGCGUGGGCGAUGGAGUGCUUCGGCAUGUAAAGCCCUAUCAGCAGGGAAGAAAAUGACGGUACCUGACUAAGAAGCCCCGGCUAAAUACGUGCCAGCAGCCGCGGUAAUACGUAUGGGGCAAGCGUUAUCCGGAUUUACUGGGUGUAAAGGGAGCGUAGGCGGCCUGGCAAGCCUGAUGUGAAAUACCGGGGCCCAACCCCGGGGCUGCAUUGGGAACUGCCAGGCUGGAGUGCCGGAGAGGCAGGCGGAAUUCCUAGUGUAGCGGUGAAAUGCGUAGAUAUUAGGAGGAACACCAGUGGCGAAGGCGGCCUGCUGGACGGUGACUGACGCUGAGGCACGAAAGCGUGGGUAUCGAACAGGAUUAGAUACCCUGGUAGUCCACGCAGUAAACGAUGAAUGCUUGCUGUCCGGGCAGAGAUAUGCCUGGGGGGCGAAGCGAAAGCGAUAAGCAUUCCACCUGGGGAGUACGCCGGCAACGGUGAAACUCAAAGGAAUUGACGGGGGCCCGCACAAGCGGAGGAACAUGUGGUUUAAUUCGAUGAUACGCGAGGAACCUUACCCGGGCUCAAACGAGAGACGGCAGGGGCAGAGACGCCCCUUUCCCUCGGGACGUCUUCCGAGGUGCUGCAUGGUUGUCGUCAGCUCGUGCCGUGAGGUGUCGGCUUAAGUGCCAUAACGAGCGCAACCCCCGCGUGCAGUUGCCAGCAGGAAAGGCUGGGGACUCUGCACGGACUGCCGGCGCAAGCCGCGAGGAAGGCGGGGAUGACGUCAAAUCAGCACGGCCCUUACGUCCGGGGCGACACACGUGUUACAAUGGGGGGUACAGCGGGAAGCCAGGCGGCGACGCCGAGCGGAACCCGAAAGCCCCUCUCAGUUCGGAUCGGAGUCUGCAACCCGACUUCGUGAAGCUGGAUUCGCUAGUAAUCGCGCAUCAGCCAUGGCGCGGUGAAUACGUUCCCGGGCCUUGUACUCACCGCCCGUCA